rnacentral:rRNA from 1 species
UACGGAGGGUGCGAGCGUUACCCGGAUUUACUGGGGGUAAAGGGCGUGUAGGCGGUCUUUCAAGUCCGAUGCUAAAGACCGGGGCUCAACCCCGGGGGUGCGUUGGAUACUGUGAGGCUAGACGGUCGGAGGGGGUAGCGGAAUUUCCGGAGUAGCGGUGAAAUGCGCAGAUACCGGAAGGAACGCCGAUAGCGAAGGCAGCUACCUGGACGAUUGGUGACGCUGAGUCGCGAAAGCGUGGGGAGCAAACCGG